AUGUGUUGUAUGAGGUUUAAAGUCGUAAUUCUUGGUCUAGUCUAGCCACUGUACUUGUUCGAUUCCAUUACAUUGCUAGAUUUCUUUGUCUGAACAUUCAAGGUUGAAGUCAUUGAAAACUUUCAGUUUAGGUUCGUUUCCGAUUCUUUUAUUUUCAUUUUAGUGUCAAUUAAAAGUAUGAUAAGAGCCUAGUUAGUUUGCAAUUUGUUUAAGAGUUCGUUUAGCCGCGACUGGUUCGGAGUUUAUAUUCUAUCCUACUUUGAUAUAUAUCAUG
rnacentral:lncRNA from 1 species